AGGCAGAUUAGGAUGAGGACUUGGUCCCUUGUACUGCAGCCAUUUCUGGCCUAUUGUACUAGCCCCAGAUGAUAGGUGAGGGUGACUGUGGAGCAAUUUCGUCUAAAUCAAGAAACGUUUUCCUCCACUGGGAUUGUCGGUUGGAAUCCCACUGCAGGCAUGGAUGUCUGUUUGCAUGUAUUAUGUGCUUGUGUUGUGUGUACAGGUAGCAGCCUUCUGACCCUUCCGACCGGCUGAUCGGCUGUCCAAGGAGGCCUACCGACCGCUAAGAUACUGAAAAAGCGGCCAAUGUCCGCAAGGGCUUUACAGCCAUAGAUAGAUAGGAGGACUGGAGAGGAAGUUUUUGAUUUAAUUAAACCAAAUUUCAUAAAUUUGUGGCGUACGGAAUUUCAGUAUUAAGUUUUCAAAACGUGUCGACGUAAGAUUUUGCAGUAAGUGGACAAUUAUGGUAUGUAGCAGCAUGUGUAAUGUUCAUCAUAUAUGUUCCUGUAGUUUGAAGCUGGCAGUAUGUAGAGUAUUCGCAUUUGUGGGCUGUUUCCGUCCUGAGAUUACAGGAUGAGGUAAGGAAUCCUAGCUGGUUGGGGCUCCUUCCCAGGCCACAGUUUAGUUAUCCUGUCAGUACCAAGGAAACAAUGAGUUUAUCGAACGGCAUGGUUUGAAGAAAGUGGGACUGCAGGCAGCGUUCAAAAUACCUAGUGAAAAGAUCAUUUGGAAAGGCAUCUGAAUAACCAACCUGUAGAUGGAUUAUAAUUAAUGAUCGUGUAAGCGUAGUAUAAUUGUUACUACUUGUUUGACAGUUCUGGAGAGGUGCCUGUGGAGAGACUGUCAUUGCAACUGAUGUCAGAGCGAGACAAAAACGUAACAGAUUCCCUGCCUUUGCUGUAUGUUCUGUGAUGACAUCCUGUGUGAGAGUCCUGGAAUGGUGGCAUUAGUGAAGGGUGGCUGUUCCCAGCAAUGAAUGAUUUCGAGUUUCUGAGUGAGCAGGAGCCACAUGGCAUCUUCCUCUCUAUGGAUCCAUCAUAUUGGCAGUUUGGCAGCUGUAUUAGUGAAGAAAAUCUGUAUCGAGUUUGUGGGUGAGCAAGGAUUGUGCAGCAUCUGCCUCUUCCCUUGUGCAGCGUCUACAAGGAGCCCCCUGUACCACAGGCCAGAUCAUAGUCCAUGCUGGGCGUGUACAGGAGGCUUCUGAGAUGGUGCAGCUUCUGGAUGCAAGAAUUUCACAACAAGAGGAGACCUGUGACUCUCCAGCACGAGACCUCAAAUGACUCAUCUGCCAUAAGAGGAAGGAGUUGUUGCUGUACAGUCAGAACGAGCAAGUGACAGCAUUUCUCUGAUGUCCAUUAUGCUGUCCUAUCAUCCAUGCAUGGCUCUUUCAGAUAGCCUUUUCUCUUGGAGCUAUGCCACCAGAAUCUCUGCAUGUCAAGACUGAAGUGAAAAUCUGUGCAUGUCAGGACCAGUGGCAGCUCAUGGCUAAAAUUAGUGGGGGUGCUAUUCCAGAAAAUUUGUAGCCUUUGUUUCAAAUUGUAUAAAAGGAAACAAACAUGUA